ensembl:snRNA U6 U6 spliceosomal RNA
GUGUUCUCUUGGGCAGCACAUAUACUAAAACAAAGAAGGUUAGCAUGGGCCCUAUGUAAGAAUGACACACAAAUUUGUGACAAGUUGCAUAUUUUA